UACGAAGGGUGCAAACGUUGCUCGGAAUUAUUGGGCGUAAAGCGCACGUAGGCGGCUUGGCAAGUCGGAUGUGAAAUCCCUCGGCUCAACCAAGGAAGUGCAUCCGAAACUGCUAAGCUUGAGUACUUAAGAGGAUCGCGGAAUUCCCGGUGUAGAGGUGAAAUUCGUAGAUAUCGGGAGGAACACCAGUGGCGAAGGCGGCGAUCUGGGCAGAUACUGACGCUGAGGUGCGAAAGCGUGGGGAGCAAACAGG
rnacentral:rRNA from 1 species